rnacentral:tRNA from 2 species
CGCAGGUCAGUCGCAGGAUUCCCCAGCCUCUCUCCUAAAGCGGGUGUCGCAGGUUCAAAUCCUGCCGGGGCAC